UACGUAGGUGGCAAGCGUUGUCCGGAUUUACUGGGCGUAAAGAGCGCGCAGGCGGUCGAUCAAGUCGCGUGUGAAAGCCCCCGGCUCAACUGGGGAGGUCACGCGAUACUGAUCGACUCGAAGGCAGGAGAGGGUAGUGGAAUUCCCGGUGUAGUGGUGAAAUGCGUAGAUAUCGGGAGGAACACCAGUGGCGAAGGCGACUACCUGGCCUGUUCUUGACGCUGAGGCGCGAAAGCUAGGGUAGCAAACGGGAUUAGAUACCCAGAG
rnacentral:rRNA from 1 species